CCGACCUGAAGGAAAGGAUCAGACCAGGCUCAAGUGCUGCCUUCUCCAGGAAGCCACCCCUUUCUCUCCAGCCAAGGGAAGGGAGCCACAGUUAGAGCCAGUGAGAAAUAUUUGGAAAUGCUUUCUGGGAGGGUGUGUUCAUUACCUGUUCAAAGAGACAAUUGCGGCUGGUGCCACCUGUCCUCCUUCCUUACUGCCCUGAAUGUGUACAGAGGAGCUGCAGCAGCCAUUUUGCAACCAUGAAGGAAUAACCAAGAUGUUGCUCCUGACCCCACUGGAGCAGCUGAACAAAUGAUACUACUUCUAGAUUCCUUGUUUAUGUGAGAAAAAUAAACUGUGUGUUUA